GGAUGUGAGGACAAUCUGGCUGUGACAUCUGUCAUUCCAUUGAUCACCAGGGUUGAUUCAGUUGAUCUGGCUAGCUAGGCAGGUGUCCCCUUCCUCCCUCACUACUUCAAGUCAGAAGAGGACUACCUUCUGGAAUAGAGGAGAACUGAUCUUCGGUCAAGAGUAUAUGAGUAGCUACACUACCCUGGUAGAACCUCCAAACAAACUCUCAAAGUUACUUGAGCAUUAAAAUGAAUUUACAUAUAAAAUGCUGCCUAGCAUGGUAUGCAGCACAAGGUUAUUAAUAUUUUUUG
rnacentral:snRNA from 1 species